UAGGCUAUGUGUAUGUUUUUAUUAUUUUUAAAUUGUUAUUUUAACCCCAAGCCUACAAAUCUAAUUAGCAUAAUAAAGAAAUUACGAUUAAAAUCCGUGUUUAAGCCAAAGAUAUCAAUGUUUUUGCAUGGGCUGCGUCUCAAUCCACCACAUAUGCUGAUAUUGCCCGUCCGCAUCUGGGGUGAAAGGUGGCAGAGCUAGAGUGGUGUUUGUCAGACCAUGAGACAUCUGGGGUGAAAGGUGACAGAGCUAGAGCGGUGUUUGUCAGACCAUGAGACAUCUGGGGUGAAAGGUGACAGAGCCAGAGUGGUGUUUGUCAGACCAUGAGACAUCUGGGGUGAAAGGUGGCAGAGCCAGAGUGGUGUUUGUCAGACCAUGAGACAUCUGGGGUGAAAGGUGGCAGAGCCAGAGUGGUGUUUGUCAGACCAUGAGACAUCUGGGGUGAAAGGUGGCAGAGCCAGAGUGGUGUUUGUCAGACCAUGAGACAUCUGGGGUGAAAGGUGGCAGAGCCAGAGUGGUGUUUGUCAGACCAUGAGACAUCUGGGGUGAAAGGUGGCAGAGCUAGAGCGGUGUUUGUCAGACCAUGAGACAUCUGGGGUGAAAGGUGACAGAGCCAGAGUGGUGUUUGUCAGACCAUGAGACAUCUGGGGUGAAAGGUGGCAGAGCCAGAGUGGUGUUUGUCAGACCAUGAGACAUCUGGGGUGAAAGGUGGCAGAGCCAGAGUGGUGUUUGUCAGACCAUGAGACAUCUGGGGUGAAAGGUGGCAGAGCUAGAGCGGUGUUUGUCAGACCAUGAGACAUCUGGGGUGAAAGGUGACAGAGCCAGAGUGGUGUUUGUCAGACCAUGAGACAUCUGGGGUGAAAGGUGACAGAGCCAGAGCGGUGUUUGUCAGACCAUGAGACAUCUGGGGUGAAAGGUGGCAGAGCUAGAGCGGUGUAUGUCAGACCAUGAGACAUCCCAAAAAACAAUCUGAACGGUGUGGCCUACAAAGUAUCAUGUAGGCCUAUCCUUUUGUCCUGAUUUGGUCAUUGUCAGGUUUCUCCCGAGCUUUG